GCAUUCUUAGCCCAGUUGGGUGAAGUAAGUCGAGGGUCACAGGUUCAGAUCCUGUAGAAUGCG
rnacentral:tRNA from 1 species